GCCCGGGUGGCGGAAUGGUAGACGCUGAGGACUUAAAAUCCUUUGGCCGUAGGCCGUGGGGGUUCGAAUCCCCUCCUGGGCA
rnacentral:tRNA from 1 species